UACGUAGGGGGCGAGCGUUAUCCGGAAUUACUGGGCGUAAAGCGCACGCAGGCGGUUCGCCAAGUUUGGAGUGACAGUUGUCGGCUCAACCGACAAAGGACUUCAAAAACUGGUGAACUUGAGGACGAGAGAGGAACAUGGAACUCCAGGUGUAGUAGUGAAAUGCGUAGAUAUCCGGAAGAACACCAAUGGCGAAGGCAAUGUUCUGGCUCGUUUCUGACGCUCAGGUGCGAAAGCCAGGGGAGCGAACGGG
rnacentral:rRNA from 1 species